rnacentral:rRNA from 1 species
GAUUAGAGUUUGAUCCUGGCUCAGAUUGAACGCUGGCGGCAGGCCUAACACAUGCAAGUCGAGCGGUAACAUUUCAAAAGCUUGCUUUUGAAGAUGACGAGCGGCGGACGGGUGAGUAAUGCCUGGGAAUUUGCCCAUUUGUGGGGGAUAACAGUUGGAAACGACUGCUAAUACCGCAUACGCCCUACGGGGGAAAGCAGGGGACCUUCGGGCCUUGCGCUGAUGGAUAAGCCCAGGUGGGAUUAGCUAGUAGGUGAGGUAAAGGCUCACCUAGGCGACGAUCCCUAGCUGGUCUGAGAGGAUGAUCAGCCACGCUGGGACUGAGACACGGCCCAGACUCCUACGGGAGGCAGCAGUGGGGAAUAUUGCACAAUGGGGGAAACCCUGAUGCAGCCAUGCCGCGUGUGUGAAGAAGGCCUUCGGGUUGUAAAGCACUUUCAGCGAGGAGGAAAGGGUGUAAGUUAAUACCUUACAUCUGUGACGUUACUCGCAGAAGAAGCACCGGCUAACUCCGUGCCAGCAGCCGCGGUAAUACGGAGGGUGCGAGCGUUAAUCGGAAUUACUGGGCGUAAAGCGUGCGCAGGCGGUUUGUUAAGCGAGAUGUGAAAGCCCCGGGCUCAACCUGGGAACCGCAUUUCGAACUGGCAAACUAGAGCUUGUAGAGGGGGGGGUAGAAUUCCAGGUGUAGCGGUGAAUGCGUAGAGAUCUGGAGGAAUACCGGUGGCGAAGGCGGCCCCCUGGACAAAGACUGACGCUCAGGCACGAAAGCGUGGGGAGCAAACAGGAUUAGAUACCCUGGUAGUCCACGCCGUAAACGAUGCUACUCGGGGAGUUUGGUUGUCUUUGAACACUGGGCUCUCAAGCUAACGCAUUAAGUAGACCGCCUGGGGGAGUACGGCCGCAAGGUUAAAACUCAAAUGAAUUGACGGGGGCCCGCACAAGCGGUGGAGGCCAGUGUGGUUUAAUUCGAUGCAACGCGAGAUCUUACUACUCUGACAUCACAGACUUUCAGAGAUGAUGGUGCCUUCGGGAACUGUGAGACAGUGCUGCAUG